UACAGAGGGUGCAAGCGUUGUUCGGAAUUACUGGGCGUAAAGCGCGUGUAGGUGGCGAGACAAGUCGGAUGUGAAAUCCCUCGGCUUAACCGAGGAAGUGCAUUCGAUACUGUUUUGCUCGAGUACCGGAGGGGAUGGCGGAAUUCCCGGUGUAGAGGUGAAAUUCGUAGAUAUCGGGAGGAACACCUGUGGCGAAGGCGGCCAUCUGGACGGUCACUGACACUGAGACGCGAAAGCGUGGGUAGCAAACAGG
rnacentral:rRNA from 1 species